AACGAACGCUGGCGGCAGGCCUAACACAUGCAAGUCGAGCGAGGACUUCGGUUCUAGCGGCGGACGGGUGAGUAACGCGUGGGAAUGUGCCCUUCUCUACGGAAUAGCCCUGGGAAACUGGGAGUAAUACCGUAUACGCCCUAUUGGGGAAAGAUUUAUCGGAGAAGGAUCAGCCCGCGUUGGAUUAGGUAGUUGGUGGGGUAAUGGCCUACCAAGCCGACGAUCCAUAGCUGGUUUGAGAGGAUGAUCAGCCACACUGGGACUGAGACACGGCCCAGACUCCUACGGGAGGCAGCAGUGGGGAAUCUUAGACAAUGGGGGCAACCCUGAUCUAGCCAUGCCGCGUGAGUGAUGAAGGCCUUAGGGUUGUAAAGCUCCUUCAGCUGGGAAGAUAAUGACGGUACCAGCAGAAGAAGCCCCGGCUAACUCCGUG
rnacentral:rRNA from 1 species